CCUACGGGUGGCAGCAGUGGGGGAUAUUGCACAAUGGGGGGAACCCUGAUGCAGCGACGCCGCGUGCGUGAAGAAGGGCCUCGGCGCGUAAAGCUCUGUCAGUACGGAAGAAAAUGACGGUACGUGAAGAAGAAGCCCCGGCCAAUUACGUGCAAGAAGCCGUGGUAAUACGCAGGGUGCAAGCGUUAUCCGGAUGUACUGGGUGUAAAGGGGGCGCAGACGGUGUUGCAAGCGAGGAGUGAAAGCCCGGGGCCCAACCCCGGGACUGCUCCUGAAACUGGGUGGCUGGAGUGCAGGAGAGGCAGGCGGAAUUCCUGGUGUAGCGGUGAAAUGCGUAGAUAUCAGGAGGAACACCGGUGGCGAAGGCGGCCUGCUGGACUGCAACUGACGUUGAGGCCCGAAAGCGUGGGGAGCAAACAGGAUUAGAUACCCUAGUAGUC
rnacentral:rRNA from 1 species